rnacentral:rRNA from 1 species
UACGUAGGGGGCUAGCGUUGUCCGGAAUCAUUGGGCGUAAAGCGCGUGUAGGCGGUCCGGUAAGUCCGCUGUGAAAGUCGGGGGCUCAACCCUCGAAUGCCGGUGGAUACUGUCGGGCUAGAGUUCGGUAGGGGAGACUGGAAUUCCUGGUGUAGCGGUGAAAUGCGCAGAUAUCAGGAGGAACACCUAUGGCGAAGGCAGCUCGCUGGGACGUUACUGACGCUGAGACGCGAAAGCGUGGGGAGCAAACAGG